AAUGAACGUUGGCGGCGUGGAUUAGGCAUGCAAGUCGUGCGAGAAGCCCCCUUCGGGGGUGGACAGCGGCGAAAGGGAGAGUAACGCGUGGAUAACCUGCCCUCGGGACCGGGAUAGCUGCGGGAAACUGCAGGUAAUACCGGAUAACGUCCCCGGACCAAAGGUGUGAUUCCGCCUGAGGAUGGGUCCGCGUCCUAUUAGCUUGUUGGUGAGGUAAUGGCUCACCAAGGCAACGAUGGGUACCGGGCGUGAGAGCGUGACCCGGCUCACUGGGACUGAGACACUGCCCAGACACCUACGGGAGGCAG
rnacentral:rRNA from 1 species